CAGUCUUAUUCGAUCGAGGAGGGAGAUUUAUUAACUUCUCUGAUCUCGUAAGACCAGGUUCGUCGACUGAUGAGAAAGUGUUUGCAGAUGCUUGUUGGGCCCUCUCUUAUCUUUCUGAUGGAACCAAUGACAAAAUCCAAUCUGCAUCCGUCUCUUGUUCCUGCUCUUCCUAGUAUUAUUGGUAACAUCGUCACUGGAGAUGAUGCACAGACACAGGUAUGCUUGUUCAUGUAUAGUUUCAGUCAUUUCAUGUUCCACUCUUCCUAGAACUUUAAUGGGCGGACCAAUGAGACAUCACCGGCAUAGCCACUGAAUGUGAACACUUUCGAUAAUGACCUUUGGUUGUCAAAAUGUUACUCGCAUAGCAUCCUGCCACUCGUCAGACUAAAGCACCCUUUAGAAUGUUAGGUGUGCCUCUAGAAUUGGAUCUAUCAUUUCUUCCAAAAUUCGGUCUACCAUAGUAUCAUGCAUGUUUCUUACAUAGAUGCUCUAGUUCUCAAAUAAUGCAACCAUUAUGUCUGGUUCCCUGCCUCUUUUAGGCAAUCCUCUCCUAGAUCUAUGUGUUCAUAAUUUCCUUUUUUUUUUUUCUUUUUUUUUUUGCAGUAUGUAGAUUUAGUCAUGGUGCACUCCUUAGCCUUUUGAGCCUUCUGACUCACAACCAUAACAAGAGCAUUAAAAAGGAAGCUUGCUGGACAAUCUCGAUCAUCACUGCUGGAAAGAGGACCAGGUUGCAAUGUUGAUCAGCUCAUCAGUUUUUAGAAGGCUUUCUCGUGUUUACGUUUUCUAAUAUUUGUUCUGUAACGCAGGCUUCUGUAUGUGAAGCUUGGUUUGAUUUGCCGUCUCGUCAGUCUCCUGACCAGAUCAAGUAAGCUUCCAGUGACCCCAUCUUCUGUCGUCGAUCGCUUUUCCUUUAAUAUAUAUAUAUAUAUAUAUAUAUAUUUGCUAGCUCUCUUUCAAAUGACCACUUAAAAUUCUCAAUGAGAGCACUUUUGAUAUUCAAGGAUUAUCACGGUGGGUCUAGAAGGAUUGAAAGAGGAAGCCGAGACAUUUACCACCUGGUGGUAAUGAUGCAGCCGCAAUCGCCAGGUGGAUUCAAACCAAUAACUCUCAUACUCCUAAGGUAAGAUUAUGAUCCCGAUCAAGUAAAACUAACAAUGAUUUGUGGUUUUCUGUCGUAAGAAAAUAAGGCUACUUAAAUGUGAGGGUUGAUCUUGUGUUCUUAGCUCUGUUGCAGGAUAAGUUUUGCUUUAUAAUUGUGAUCACAUCAUCUAGGAUAGUGUAAAGCUCUUGUGAACACUUAAAUAUGGGUUAAAGAGUCAAAGAAUAUAAUAGCUUGUUGCUCCUUAUGUUCUGUUUUGUAGUUUCGCUGAUUCUAUGUCUGGAGUGUUAUUAGUUAUUACUGACGGAUCAAGGGGUUUUUAAAGUAGGAAAAGGUUAAAUGGUGAUUAGCUUCACUUUUCUGAUAAAAGUUUGUUAUUGCAGUCAUUGUACUGUACCUUUUGCGUGUGUGGGAUCAAGAGCAGGAAAAAGAGGCAAGCAGCUCUUGGAAUUAGACAAGAGGAGGAUCACAAGAUCAAGAACAACAAAAUUAACAACAAUCUCGCUCGAAGAUUCACGGAAUGUUUAGAACAGGAUCAAGACAGGAGUGUGAGAAUUUUAACCGUAGCGGUCGGUAACAAGAAGAAUAUCAAAAUGGGCAGUAGAUUUUUCUUCUCCUAGAUCUAUGGGUUCAUCGUUUUAGAUGUACAAUGCUCUCAAAAUUAAAAUUAAAUCUCUAUGUAAUUAAAAUUGUGGUUCUGAACCUUCAUGAGACCAUUGUUUUAUUAGUUGCGACUUUUAAGAUUUAGCGCACUGUUAACAGAUUAUUACUGAUGUAGAUUUAGAGCUCUAUGGAAGUCUUUCAAAAAUGCAUAUGACACUGAAAAAGCAAAAACAUCCAAAGGCCAUUGAUGAAUUGAAUUGGAUUAUGUUUUUGAUGAAAUAAGUCAUUUUCUCAUUUCAACUCUAGAGAAGCUGAAGGAGAUGGUUGAGUCAGAAGCACCAAUGAAAGGACGACAAAAUCUUUUAUGCUUAAUUCAAGAACUGGAAAUUCUCAAACCAAACGCAUGAAAAUGACAUCAGAACAAGCAUAGUCCUUCUAAGUAUCCAAAGAGUCAUUAUUAUCUUUCCAUACAAUUGAUUUAUACUACAAGGUUGGUUUAUUUGGUAUUUUUAAACAACGCUAAUUAAGUUCAGGAUACAUACAAAUAAAUAACUUGACCUGGUGUUUCAAAAAAAAAAAAUAACUUGACCUGAAAUAUUAUAUGACAUACGCAUA